CAUUCUCCAUUUACUUCCUUGUAUAUAUUCAGGCCCAUCGCCGCCUGCAUUCUGCUAGAUUGUCUAUUAUGCCAUCCUAGCUGUAGCUUUCAAGCCUUACUGACCAGUUUUUGGCUGCCUCUUUUGACCUCCUGCUUGUUUUUGGACUUUGUGUUUUGUCUUCUCCUUUGCUUUCUUUUGCUCUGGUUCUCCUGCCUGCCUGUUGCCAACCACUGCUUGCUCGCUGGCUUUGCCUCCAGUUUAUUCUUGUCUACUUUUGUCUGGUGAGUCUAAAUGAAGGUGACUAUUUUUGAACUUUUUAUCAGUGUCUGAGUCCCGCAUUUGGGUCCUUCCAAUCCUGUUCCACGACAGAAUAUGUCAGCAGAUCAGCAGAGAGGUCUAGCUUCAACAUUUAAUCCAUCAAACCAGAGGGCAAACUUGUUGCACAGGUGAAAAAUGUCUUUCGCAAGGUCCACGUAGUGGAAUUUUUCAACUGACAACCUUCAUCAAUGGUUGGAUUUUACUUAAAUGGCUUAGUAGUUAUAACGUCACCUAAAGUAUGGAACUUCAGUCACGUAUAGAGUCUAUGGGAAUCUUUUUGACCAUCCAAUGACCCCUGAUCGAUGACCUUGGACCCUUCCUAAAAGGUGCUGACUCUGGAUGGAUUGUCUGAUUUUCAUCCACAUUAGAGAAUCUGGGUCUCUAGGCAGUCCAGCGACUGUCAUUGUGCACCACAUUGACAAUGGGAUGACAUUUUGACACGAUGCGUUUCAGCUGCCUUUUUCAGUCAUCCAACUCACACUCGUCUGACAGAACAGAUAUGCUCCUUUCAGUCCAGCUGUAAUAAUAAUAUGUAUUUCCGCCCCUGCUGCUAGAGUUUGGAUCUGUGACUGAAAACCACCUACUGCCCCCAUGAUCCUGCUCAACUACCACUGCUUCAAAUAUUAUGAUUAUCAACUAUUAUAUUUAGAUUUAUUAUUAUUAUUAAUCGCUCUAUACUAUAAUUUUUUAGUUUUAUUAUUAGUCUUAUUAUUGUUACACAUCUUUAAGUUAUACUUCCACUGUGCUCAGGUCCAUCUUCUCCUGCUCAUCCAGCUACUUAUCUGCUGCUGUUCCAGCAACCCAUAACCUCUGUUAUGAAUUGGUGCUAUAUGAAUAAAAUUGAAUUGACUUGACUUCUGUGGAGACAUGGUGUAAGUUAUUAUUUUAACCCAAACUAUUAUCUUUCCCUAUAGCUAACCAAGCCUUAACCUUAGUGUAUUCACAUCAUAAUAUUUAUGUAGUUUUCAUCACUGAUUUGUAACCAUUUUGGAAGGCACAGACAAAUAAUGCCAUACUGUACUGUAAUUUGGAGGACUUGUUGGAAAAAAAAAAUGCUUUUUCUUUCUUCUAUAGUUUUCUCUAGUGUCCGCAAACAUUCAAUGAAUGUAAAAACUGCAGAACUGACAUUCCAUGCUAUAUGAACUGAAGAUCAAAUAAAAACUAUUAACCCCUCAUUAUCUUAAAGUGACAUUUCUCGCAAUAAAGGAAAGGUUCAUAUUGUACUUUGCAAAAUCACAGACAAACCAUUUUCAUGCUAAAUACUCUAAUUCACUGUCAGAUAUUUCUCCUCACUCUGAACAUGUCUCCACGAGCAAAGGAUUUCAAUAAGUCAAGUAUCUCUGAAAAUAUAAAGAUAAUGAGAAAUUCAAAAUAACACAGUGAGGGAAAAAGUCAAUAUUUGAGGAUGUGAGGGAGUGGAAAAGAGUCACAGAUGCAUUAAACCCAUUUAUGAAGCCCACAACUCCCUUUCUUCCACAACAGUAUUGAGAGGGAAACUGCAAAUCAAAUUUUCUACGCAUCUCAUAAGUGGUGGACCGUCCACACUCACUUAACACUCUAUUGUGCUUUCUUUCUCUGUUUUCAUUCUUUCUCUGCUAGUUUCAGUAAUUGCCAAGUCCUCUGGUGUGGAGUGUAUUAGGACAUCAUCUGGAGCAUUCUGUUGAGCUUUUUUAUUUAGCUGUAUUGUUUUAGCAACAACUGUGUGAUGCUGAGAGAUACUUAUACGUAUGCAUGGUUAGGAGGGUGGGUUGGGUUGGCAUUUGUGA